rnacentral:misc_RNA from 1 species
AACUGCGUUUUCACAUAUGUGUGUUUCUUCAACAUGAAUGACCUGCGCUGAGCACUAGGCCGUAACAUAUGCGGAUUCUAUUGGUGUGUAUGCCUACGUAUGCCUGAGCAUACGAUGGGUUAAAUAGAAUGAAGGGCUCAUCCUUCUAGUAAAUUACAAUUUAUAUCAAUAAAUUAAAAUCACGAGAAAACUGGUCAAAGAUAAAAUUUUCGCUCAUGACGACACGUUAAUCCUUAUUGGAGCGAUGUCAACGCCAUCUUAUAGUGAUUUUUAGAAGUUUAUAGUUGGGCCUACCUUUAUGUAGUUAUUCUACUCACCGGUAGAUGACGCUAUAGCUGGGCUAAACGCAGGCAGUUUUAAAGUUAGCUCAAACAGUUUGAAAUGGGUCCAACUUGAACUUAAAGAUUCUUUCAGUGACACAUUGAGCUCAAAGUACGAGUUGGACCAAAAGUUACUUUUUAUUGACAUUGUCUUGUCAAAAAUGUCAUAAUACCACCGACGGCGCUGACCGCGUUUAUUUUAAGUUAGUAAAACUGAUAAAACUAUCACAUUUUAGCUGAAAAGAAUGUUGAAAACGAAGUGACAAAAGCAAUUUAGAUUUGUAUGGAGUUUUUUGAAAAAGCGCAUGUUGUAAAACGGAAUCAAAAUAUAGACGACAAUAUGAAAAAACAACUAAAGCAAAUGUUGUAUGGGUACAAACAAAACGAUAAUAAACUCAUUCGAGAUGCGGCCAAUAUCGAAAAAGAAGAUGACUCCACAUCUGUAAGUGGCUUUUCCGACCUCGAUUUAACCGUGUCUAGCAGUGAGGGGAAUAGCACACGGCAAAGGAUUUCUUUCAUAGGACCCGGAAGUGUAAAAGAUGCAGCAAUAAGUCUUGAUGAUUCUAUAGAUAGUCAAUCUCAUAAAUCUUCAAGUAGCUUUGACGAGAAUGACUUUCAGAAGAUAAGUGAUGUGUCUCUCUCUGAUAUAAACGAGGACAUUGAAAGUCUAUCUGAAGGUUCUGUUUCUAUCAAUGAAAGCAAUGAUAGCGAUGAUGAUUUCUCAAUGACAAGCACUUCUGUAGGUUCUGCUUCAGAUGUUGAGUCAAGCGCUAGUGAACCAUUUGAUCCCGAUGGCACAUUGGCAUCUAAAAUAUUUGAAAAAUUAAAAUUGAGGGAUAAUCCAAAAGUUACCAAGAAGGAAAGAAAAAGGAAGUUAGAUCAAAUACCAGCACCAAAGAAUUAUAGUCAAGAUUCUCAGAUGGAAAGUGACUCAAGUGUUGAGGUGCUUUCUGAAAAGGGAUCAGGGAAGGAUUCAGUAGACACAGUUGAUUACUCGAACAUUACAUCACCGUCAUUUGUUUCUGUAAAUGCAGUAGACAUGCCUCAUCAAUCCCUCAGUGAUGUACUAGGAGACUACACAUACCCAACUGUCAGAAACUUGCCAUCGGAAGCCCAGAAUUUGUUUGCUACCAACAAGUCUGGUAUAUUCCCUACUUUGGAUGAGGAGAGUGUGAAUGAUGUAAAUGACAGUUUACUCCCAGAACUGGGAAGUGUACUAGAUGACCCAGAAGUCAUGGAUUUAGAUUCCAGUACAGACAUGCCGGUCGAGGAGAGCUCAUUGGCUUAUGAUGAAACUAUAGAUACUGAGGAAACAUUCCAAAGAGAGAAUUCAACAGAGUCAGUUGACACCAACUUUGUAAAUCCUGUAAAUAUUUUCUAUGGAAAAAAUUGCUGCAUACUAAUUCUUAAACAUCCUGCCGAAAUAUACAUUCAUGGAAAAGUAAAAGUUACAUUGUUGGGGGGUUUAGUAGAAAUUGGUGGCUACACUCUGCAAGAUAAGACUUACAAAGUAUAUGCACCAAAUUACAACUGCGCUCAAUACUUACGGACACUGGAUCAUGACAAGGGCUAUUAUGGGCUAUUUGCAAAGUUGACAGGGUCUGGGUUGUCUGUGGCCGCCACUGAAGAAAUUGUGACCACCCUCAGUCCCUCUGAUAGUAUUGUACAAUUACAACCGUUGCAUGAUAGAAUAGCUCAGUUUGUAGAAAACAGCUGCACUAUAACAGAUCUAUUUUCUAAGACAAACAAGAAUGUAGAUGGCUGCUUCAGAAAAGCAUCAGACUUUUUGGGAUGCUCACUGUACCUUAUGAAACCUUGGAAGAGUUUUGAGGAGAAUCCUUGUUGGAGCCAAGCCUUGCAACAUGGAUAUAAGCCCCAAAGCAAAGGAAUUUUAUGCGGCGGUAAAGGCUCGGGCAAGAGCUCAUUCCUGCGGUACUAUGUGAAUAAGCUGCUGGCGCGCGGAGCUGUGCUGGUGAUUGACCUGGACCCCGGCCAGAGCGAGUUCACUCCAGCCGGGUCUGUGUCCGCCACUGUGGUGGAGGAACCGCUCCUUGGGCCGCCGUUUACGCACUUGAAGACACCCGAAAGGAUGUUGAACAUCGGUAUCAUUAGCACAAUGGACAACCCGAGACGAUACGCCACGGCGGUGCAACAACUCAUCGACUAUUGCCAUAGCGAACCCCGCUUCCAAGACCUCCCAUGGAUCGUCAACACUAUGGGCAUGGUCAACGCUCUAGGCCUCCAAUUUAUGGCCCUAAUGACCAUCUUACUACAACCAACCUUCAUCCUACAAAUAGACUCUAAAAACCCUAAAAAGAGAUACGCACAUCACCUAGACUCAGACACAGUCAAAUCACUGUAUUACAAAUACCAGUACAACUAUCUUUUCAAACCAAUCAAACUUCAAAACGAGAUGGAUUAUGCCCUCAUAAUAUCAAACGCUGACAGUGUUAAGGGCAACUUCUCGCUGCCGCCUAAGGAGGAGCGAUACCUUAACUUUUUGGCCUAUUUCGGCAGCUUGAUGACUAAUAACGCCACUGAUGACUUCCUGUUAAGCGUUGUUCCGUAUGAGUAAGUAGGUUUUAAUUAUGAUUGUAGAUACUACCUAUAACCGGAACUCUACUCGCAUGGAAUGAAGUUGAACAUUUCCCUUCCUAUCAGAUGUUGAAUAAAAAAAAACUUUACAAAAAUCGGUACAGUAAUUUAGCUAGUAAAAUUAUGACCAUUUUUUUAGUCAAAGUUCUUAUACUUGAUGUCGAACUAGAUCGCAUUGAUUCCCCCCAUUCCUACCACAGCCAAAACAUAAAACUAGUCAACAAAAAGCUAACCUUGAAAUAUGUUUAGAAACACGUAGUACACAAACAAGUAUCGCUUUUCCCGUUACUACGGGUUCCCGGUACGGCUGUGAAUGAAUA